GAUGAACGCUGGCGGCGUGCUUAACACAUGCAAGUCGAACGGGAAACCUUUUAUUGAAGCUUCGGCAGAUUUAGCUGGUUUCUAGUGGCGGACGGGUGAGUAACGCGUGGGUAACCUGCCUUAUACAGGGGGAUAACAGUCAGAAAUGGCUGCUAAUACCGCAUAAGCGCACAGAGCUGCAUGGCUCAGUGUGAAAAACUCCGGUGGUAUAAGAUGGACCCGCGUUGGAUUAGCUGGUUGGUGGGGUAACGGCCCACCAAGGCGACGAUCCAUAGCCGGCCUGGGAGGGUGAACGGCCACAUUGGGACUGAGACACGGCCCAGACUCCUACGGGAGGCAGCAGUGGGGAAUAUUGCACAAUGGGGGAAACCCUGAUGCAGCGACGCCGCGUGAAGGAAGAAGUAUCUCGGUAUGUAAACUUCUAUCAGCAGGGAAGAUAAUGACGGUACCUGACUAAGAAGCCCCGGCUAACUACGUG
rnacentral:rRNA from 1 species